GAUGCCUUCGUGUCGCGGGGGGAUGACGUAGCGGCCCCGCCGUUGCCUGGUGAUGGGGUCCGAGCAGAGCGCCGAGGCUGAGGGCCGCCCUCACGACCCUGCGACAGCAUCUCCUUCACCAGCCAAGCAACGAGCUAAAAUGGAUGAUAUUGUGGUGGUGACCCAAGGGACUCAGGCAUCACGGAAUGUCAGCAGUGACCCAGAUGUCAUAAAACUACAAGAAAUCCCCACUUUCCAACCUCUGUUGAAAGGACUUCUUAGUGGGCAGAUGUCUCCUACCAACAUUAAACUAGAAAAACUUGAUUCUCAGCAAGUACUACAGCUGUGUCUCCGGUACCAGGACCACCUCCACCAGUGUGCAGAAGCUGUGGCCUUUGACCAGAAUGCUUUAGUCAAGCGGAUCAAAGAGAUGGAUCUUUCAGUAGAAACGCUGUACACUUUAAUGCAAGAGCGCCAGAAAAGGUACGCCAAGUACGCCGAGCAGAUCCAGAAAGUCAACGAGAUGUCCGCCAUUCUCCGCCGCGUCCAGAUGGGCAUUGACCUAACUGUCCCACUGAUGGAGAGGCUGAACAGCCUGCUGCCCGAGAACGAGCGGCUGGAACCCUUUUGUAUGAAACCGGACAGGGAGCUCAAGUUAUAGCUUCCGUCCAGCCCUCUCUUCUCAGGCUUGACUGCAGGACCUUGCUUGAAGCUUCAGGCUCAGGGCACAGCUGGAGGAAGACUAGCUGUCUUCUGUCAUUCCUGACUUCUUUCCAACAAUGAUGUCGGCGAGAACCGGCCUGAAGCCCCCACAGGAUUCUUGGCCAAUGUCCAGGAUUUCAUCAUUUGGUUGGUUGUUGCAAAAAGGGUGACUUCAGCACAGAAUGGUUGAAAAGCAGUGAUUUAAUCACUAAAGAGAGCCAGGCUGGGAAGCCAGCUGCCCACCAACCAAAAUCCAUGCCAGGCAUCCUACAAAUGACCAUCUUUGGCACCUGAUUUGGCACCCUUUAAGCAUAAUGCUGCCAUCAUAUUUAUCUCUCUUUAAGCAAAAGAAAAAAACAAACUCAAAAUGCCCCGUUAGAACCUGCGCUAUUGAUCUGAAUCCGUCCCCAAACUGGAAAUCCAGUGAGGGACAGGGCCUCAAAAACAUUGCCCUGAAGAUGUCCUGUAAGUAUAGAAUUUGUUCCAAAUAAAUAACCUUUGACUUUAUGUUCUGGAAUGUGUUGAAACAGC